rnacentral:rRNA from 1 species
GAUGAACGCUAGCGGCAGGCCUAAUACAUGCAAGUCGAACGGUGUCUUCGGACAUAGUGGCGCACGGGUGCGUAACACGUAUGCAACCUACCUUACAUUGGGGGAUCGCCUUUCGAAAGGGAGAUUAAUACCGCAUAAGACAGUAGCUGGGCAUCCAGCAGCUGUUAAAGAUUUAUCGAUGUAAGCUGGGCAUACGUCCAAUUAGCUAGUGGGUGAGGUAACGGCUCACCAAGGCAAUGAUGGGUAGGGGAACUGAGAGGUCAAUCCCUCACACUGUAACUGGGAGACGAGCCAGACUCCGACGGGGGGCAGCAGUAGGGAAUAUUGGGGAAUGGACGAAAGUCUGACCCAGCCAUGCCGCGUGCAGGGUGAAGGCGUUAUGCGUUGUAAACUGCUUUUAUACAGGAAGAAACGACUCUUGCGAGAGGCAUUGACGGUACCUUGGUAAGAAGCACCGGCUAACUACGUGCCAGCCGCCGCGGUAAUAC